rnacentral:lncRNA from 1 species
GAAGUGGCCACUUGGUGGAGAAGCGCCUUAUUGUGGCGGACUUUCUUCAGUACAGCGGUCGUUGUGGUUGUUCUAAGAGAGUUCAUAGAGAUCUGCAAUUCAGGGAAGUGUGGGUUGUUUGGAAAAGGAGGGCUUAUUAUGUUUGAUGUGAGUCACGUAACUUAUACUUACCAUGUAACUGACAUAAUCCCUGUCAUGUUGAUUGGUGUAAUCGGUGGAAUUCUUGGGAGCCUCUAUAAUCACUUCCUGCAUAAAGUUCUCCGGCUUUACAAUCUCAUCAACGAGUAAGUGCUAGCUAUUCAAUAGGUUCUAAAGACAAACAUAGUGAAACUUCCGUUAAGCUAGUUACUUACCUUGUUUGGUCAUUUUGCAGGAAGGGAAAGAUCCACAAGGUGCUUCUCAGUCUUACAGUAUCACUCUUCACAUCGGUUUG